rnacentral:tRNA from 1 species
GUGGGUAUAGCUCAGUGGUAAAGCACAUGCUUAGCAUACAUGAGGUCCUGGGUUCAAUCCCCAGUACCUCCA